AAGAACUCAGCAGUACAUUGUUCAGGGAGAUAGAUAGAUAGAAAGAAAGAAAGAAAGAAAGAAAGAAAGAAAGAAAGAAAGAAAGAAAGAAAGAAAGAAAGAAAGAAAGAUAGAUAUAAUGUGAACAGUCAAAGUACAAAGGAAAGCAAGUGGAUGAUUAACAAAACCUAGGAUAGCAAUUACAUCUGUGGAAGAAAGAGGGACUUAUGUUUACAGAGAAAGAGAAAGCUUCAUGUUUUCUUAAAUGACUCAUGAGUAUACAGGUCCCUGUACACGUGUUCCUAUUUUCCUUUGCUGGCUCAUCAGGGCACGUGGUCAGCUGCUGGGGAUCUUUGGCAGAGUAAUGGACAGACAGCCCAGCGGCCUUGGCCCCUCUGGGUCAGCAGUUCCUUAGCUGGUAAGUCGUGGUUCCCAGAAGGACUCUCUCUGCUCUCCAAUCUCCUCAGCUGACAUUUUCCUGGGGAAGAGGUAAGAGGUACAUUGUUUAUUCCCCCAAAGCAUUUUAUGUUUGUUUCUUUGUUUUUUAAGUAGGUUCCAUGCCCAACAUGGGACAUGAACUCAUCACCCUGAGAUCAAGAGUUGCAUGCUAAAGAAAAAAAAAAGAGUUGCAUGCUCUACUCACUGAGCCAGCCAGGCGCACCUGUUCCACAGCAUUUUAAGUGCCCCAGAGCAAUGAACCCAAAGCACCGUCACUUGGACAAGUGCAGCAUCUCUCUCAGGAUGUACUAAGAUGUCUAUAGAUCAAAUAUUCCCAUAUUUAACAGUUUUCCUUCUGACCAUGACUCCUCGCUCUGUGCUUCCUCUUUUUUAAAAAAAAGAUUUUAUUUUAUUUAUGUAUUCGAGAGAGACAGAGAGGGGGAGAGAGAGGCAGAGACACAGGCAGAGGGAGAAGCAGAGGGAGAAGCAGGCUCCAUGCAGGGAGCCCGAACUGGGACUCAAUCCGGGACUCCAGGAUCACGCCCUGAGCUGAAGGCAGCACUAAACUGCUGAGCCACCCAGGCUGCCCUCGCUCUGUGCUUCUGGUCUCCAGGCUCUCACUAAGAGUGAGAAGCAGAGAAUUUCUCUGCCACUCCCUUCUUCUGGGCUCCAGAUCAGCAAGGUCUUGCAUCCACCCUGAACCUCAGAAUCUUCUUGCUUCAAAGAAUGUUCUGUAGUUAGCUUUAAGUUGAAGGAGGAUGGCGGCAAGGAUGUAUUCAAGAACCAUCUCCCCAGAAUUCCCAGAGGAAAAAUCAUUAUAUUCCAAAAUACCAUAGGCCAUUUCAUAGACCAUGGUGCAAUAGAACCAAGAUCAUCAACUAGAAGAAGCAAG
rnacentral:tRNA from 1 species